CAAAACAUUCUCUGACACCAACCAUGCAAAUGUUUUCUUGGGUCAGUCUCCCAAGGCUAUAGAAAUAACAACAAAAAUAAACCAAAGAGACCUAAUCAAACUGACAAGCUUUUGCACAGCAAAGGAAACCAAACAACAACAACAAAAACAGACAACUUAUGGAAUGUGAGAAAGUAGUUGCAAAUGAUGCAACUGACAAGGGCUUAAUCUCCAAAAUAUACAAACAAUUUAUACACCUCAACAGCGAAAAAUACAAACAACCCAAAAAAUGGGCAGAAGACCUAAAUAAGCAUUUCUCCAAAGAAGAUAUACAUAUGGAUGGCCAGCAGGCAAAUAGAAAAAUGCUCAGCAUCACUAAUUAUUAGAGAAAUGCAAAUCAAAACUACAAUGAAGUACCACCUCACCCUGCUCAGAAUGGCUAUCACCCGUAAGUCUACAAAUAACAAAGACGAGUGGGUGUGGAGAAAAGGGAACCCUCCNAUAUAGAACUACCAUGUGAUCCGUACAAUUCAAAAAGAUGCAUGCACCUGUAUGUUCAUAGCUGCACUAUUCACAAUGCCAACAACAUGGAAACAACCUAAAUGUCCAUUGAUAUAUGAAUGGAUUAAGAAGAUGUGGUAAAUAUACACAGUGGAGUACAACUCAGCUGUAAAAAAAAAAAAGGACGAAAUAAUGGCAUUUGCAGCAAUAUGGAUGGAAUUAGAAACUAUAUUAAGUGAAGUAAGAAAGACAAAUAUAGUAUCUCUUAUUAUGUGAAGUCUAAAAUAUGGCACAGAUGAACCUAACUACGAAACAUAAACAGACUCACAGACAUGGAGAACAGACUUGUGGUUGCCAAGGAGGAGGAGGGAGUGGGAUGGACUGGGAGUUUGGGGUUAGUAGAUGCAAACUAUUGCAUUUAGAAUGGACAAGUAAUGAGGUCCUACCGUAUAGCACACGGAACUGUAUCCAAUCACUUGGGAUAAAACAAGAUGGAAGACAGUAUAUAUAUGUGUGUGUGUAUGAGUAGGUCACUUUGCUAUGCAGCAGAAAUUGAUAAAACAUUGUAAAUCACUGCACUUUUUAAAAUUUUUUAAAUAAAAACAAAAAGUACUCUCCCUCUAAAAAUAAGUUAAUGAAAGAGAGACAAAACUAUAGAGAAUGUCAACAAAAACAAGCCUAUGUUUGGUUUAAGGAAAGUAGAUAAAGUUUGAGGGGAAAAAGGAAAAAAGAAAAUAUAAACAGUGGUAACGUUUGGUGUAACAUCAAGAACUAGUCUAAGGGAGAUCCCUGUGCCCCAGUGGUUAAGGAGCUGUGAUGUGUUUUAGAGCCCUGGCCUGACAACUUCCAUAUGGCACCCCCCAAAAAAACCCAAAAAAACAAACUAUGCUUUAACAAAGGACUCCAGGGAGUUCCGUUGUGGUGUAAUGAAAACGAAUCUGACUAGUAUUCAUGAGGAUUCGGCUUUGAUCCCUGGCCUUGCUCGGUGGGUUAAGGAUUCAGCAUUGCUGUGGCUGUGGUGUAGGCCACCAGCUGCAGCUCCAAUUUGAUCCCUAUCCUGGGAACUUCCAUAUGCUGCAGAUGUGGCCCUAAAAAGGAAAAAAAAAAAAAAAUUACAGCAAAUAUACCGAAUUAUUUAUAUCUAGAAUAAGUNGCAAACAUACCGAAUUAUUUAUAUCUAGAAUAAGUACAGAAUUUCUACAAAUCAGUUAGAAAGGCAAGCAGCCAAAUGAGCCAAGAAACAUAUAGAAGAGAAAAUGUUUAAAGUCUGUUGAUGAUGCAGAGCAUCCUCUGCAAAUGCCCAUGGGAUUAUAAACUGGUAGAUCCCCUUUGGGGAGCAUUCGGUAAUAUAGUAAAGCUAAAGAUGCUUAAUGCCCUGAAACGCAACAAAUCCACAUCUCGGUAUUGUGGAAUAAAAUCAUUAUAAACAGCAAUUAAUGCAACUGAGACUUAAAUAAAAUUCUAGCUGAAAAUAUUGGCCACAAGUCAGAAUAGGAUGUAAUGAAAAAGCUUUCCAAGGCUGUCAAAAGUACUUUGGGGAAUGCAAAUAUGUUUAGAGUUUUUUUUUUUUUUUUUUAAGGUCCGAGAAUAUUUACAUAGCCAUCACCAUAAAAUCUAGGUUAAGUGUAAUUUAGUGUUUGUUUACUCAGAAGGACAGACGAGUCCUAUAAAAUUCUUAGAUUUGUAUUUAAUAUUAUCCUCCAGGUAUUAUUACCUGUUGACAUAGAUUAUAGAAAAGGAAACUUUAAAAAGUAUUUGUGCAUAAAAUGUGUUUAUUUACUAGAGUUGUGAUGGGUUGAAUUUGCAUGCGCACUCUUUAUAAUAAUCUGCUGACCAUGACCUCAUUUUUCUAUUUAACUCAAAUCCAACAAUGUAUCUUAAAAAAUUAUACACCAGGAACCAGGUGGGAUUCCAAGUGUGCAGGGCUGGCUCAACUUUCAAAAAUCAGUCAGUGUAAUCUACAUCAGACCAACGAAGAAAAAUUGUAUGAUCUUAUCAAUACAUGCAGCAAAAGCAUUUGACUAAAUCCAGCGCCCAUUCAUGAUUAAAAUUCUCAGCAAACUGGGAAUAGAAGGGACCUUCCUUCCUUUGAUAAAGACAUCUACAAAACCUACAGCUGCUGUGAUACUAAAUGAUGAGAAACUAAAUGUUUUUCCACCAUGAUCAGGAACAAGGCAAGAGUGUCUCCUCUUACCACUGUUUUUCAAUGUCGCACUGGAAGUUCUGGCUAAUGCACUAGUAC
rnacentral:lncRNA from 1 species